CCUACGGGAGGCUGCAGUCGAGAAUCAUUCACAAUGGGGGAAACCCUGAUGGUGCGACGCCGCGUGGGGGAAUGAGGGUCUUCGGAUUGUAAACCCCUGUCAUGUGGGAGCAAAUUAAAAAGAUCGUACCACAAGAGGAAGAGACGGCUAACUCUGUGCCAGCAGCCGCGGUAAUACAGAGGUCUCAAGCGUUGUUCGGAAUCACUGGGCGUAAAGCGUGCGUAGGCUGUUUCGUAAGUCGUGUGUGAAAGGCGCGGGCUCAACCCGCGGACGGCACAUGAUACUGCGAGACUAGAGUAAGGGAGGGGGAACCGGAAUUCUCGGUGUAGCAGUGAAAUGCGUAGAUAUCGAGAGGAACACUCGUGGCGAAGGCGGGUUCCUGGACAUUAACUGACGCUGAGGCACGAUGGCCAGGGGAGCGAAAGGGAUUAGAUACCCCGGUAGUC
rnacentral:rRNA from 1 species